UUUUUUUUUUUUUUUUUUUUUUUUUCCUCUUUGGAACUUACUAGUAAACACACACAUAUAUUUUUUUUACCUUGUUUGGUGUCUUCAUUAACCAGAAUGAAGAUCCUCAAGAGAAAGAAUUUUUGUUUUAACCACUCUUAUUCCUCAGCCUGACAUCUAACAAGCCCUCAAAUAUUAGUCAAAUGAAUGAACAAGCUCAUACGGCUCAGGGCCAGAAAAAAUAAAAAUAUUCAGAAACACAGGAGUAGAGUCUAUAGUUUAAAAUCUCCCUCAUUUGUGGGUCCUGCUUCUCCACCCUCCAAAACCGAUUAACCUAAUGAACUUGGAACUACUCAGUUAUAGCUUCACUUUCCAUGAGGACAAGAACUAUGAUUCCAGCUCUACUGCCUAGCAUAAAGCUUGACCUGUAGUAAUCACUGAAUUGGCAAGUUAGUAUUAAUUGGGUUACAGUCCAAGCUGCUAUAACAAAGCCAUCCGCCACUCAAGUUUCUUUCUCACAGUACUGUUUCAGGGGUAGCACAACUGUUAUCCUCAUCCCUCAGCUUCCAUGUCCACUUCAAGGUGCAUACUCUAGAUCCUGCCUUCAUAUCUGCAUUCCAGCCAGAGAAGGAGAAAAGAGCAAGGGGCGCAUUCCUCUUCCAGAUAUAAUGCAGAAGUGGUGCCUAUCACUUCUGCUAAUAUUCUACUGGCCAAGCUUAGUCACAUGACCAUACCUAGCUGAAAAGAAAGCUAGGAAAUGUGGUAUCCAGCUGGACACAGGUGUUCUGCAAUGAAAGGGCAAAUGGGCACUGGUAAGCUUACAGCAGUUUAUUAAACAGACAAUAAAAGGAAAGGACCUUCUUUUCAUAUGAACAUCAUCUCUCCAGCCUUACUAUUUACACAUUACUAGUUUGUGCCUGCAUUCUUCACCUUCACUGAAUUCACUAACUUGGUCUAAACAAUUCUAAGUUAAUGAAAACCACAUUUCACAAAAUUUUAUGUAAACAAAAGGCAAUUAGGGAAAGUCUACUGUUAAUUACACUUCUGAACUAAUGUUGGCAAAACUAUAAAGUGGAUAAAAUCUAAAAAGCCCUCCAGACCCUUUGUUGUUUCUUCUUCCUGAACUUCUCCCCCUAUAUCACCCACACACACUCUUCCACAAAAUUAAUCUUUUAUUCUGAAGCACAAAUAUGGUUCAUAUAUUGGUUUUAUCUUAUGUUCCCAUUCCCACCUGAGUGCAACGAAAGGCUUGCCCCUUAUGUACAACAGUUAGGGAAGGAUAUUAUGGAGUCUAAACCAUGGCACUAAAAUCACACUACAAAAUUUUUAACACCUCAGCUUCUGUAAGCUCUGAAAUUAAAAGUACACUUUUUGCGGUUAUUUUCUCUUGUCAAGUGUAUCAAGGAAACUAUGCCCUGUCUACUUUCUUUGGGAAAAUAUUAAAUGUUAACAGGUUAAAAGCUCUAACUUGACUAUUAAUUUUGCAGGUUCUACAAGCAACAAUUCCAAGAAUUUGGUAACUUUGGAGCAAAGUCCAAAAGUUCAAAGAGAAAGGAUAU
rnacentral:lncRNA from 1 species